GUGCUUGCUGCAGCAGCACAUAUACUAAAAUUGGAACAACAGAGAGAAGAUUAGCAUGGCCCCUGUGCAAGGAUGACAUGCAAAUCCAUGAAGCAUUCCAUAUUUUU
ensembl:snRNA U6 U6 spliceosomal RNA